rnacentral:tRNA from 1 species
GUUGUAUUGAAGUGGCUGUGGGAUGACUAUUGGAAGGUUGGUGAUUCAAAACCCCGUAAGGUU